AUACUUAGCUGGCAGGGGAGAUACGAGGAUCAAGAAGGUGGUUCACCCAGGGCGAGGCUUGACCGUUGCACCCCGGUUGCGCUGACACCUUCGAAUCCCCCAAAUGUGGGAAUCUUGACUGCGUAAUUUCUGGUAGUGGGGGACUGCGUUCACGCUCUCCCCUG